AGAGUUUGAUCAUGGCUCAGGACGAACGCUGGCGGCGUGCUUAACACAUGCAAGUCGAGCGAGGCUCUCUCCUUCGGGAGGGAUGUCCUAGCGGCGAACGGGUGAGUAACACGUGGGCAACCUGCCCUCCGCUCUGGGAUAACCCCGGGAAACCGGAGCUAAUACCGGAUAUGACCUCGGAAGACAUCUUCUGAGGUGGAAAGAAUUUCGGCGGAGGAUGGGCCCGCGGCCUAUCAGCUUGUUGGUGGGGUAACGGCCCACCAAGGCGACGACGGGUAGCCGGCCUGAGAGGGCGACCGGCCACACUGGGACUGAGACACGGCCCAGACUCCUACGGGAGGCAGCAGUGGGGAAUAUUGCGCAAUGGGCGAAAGCCUGACGCAGCGACGCCGCGUGAGGGAUGAAGGCCUUCGGGUUGUAAACCUCUUUCAGCAGGGACGAAGCGAAAGUGACGGUACCUGCAGAAGAAGCACCGGCCAACUACGUGCCAGCAGCCGCGGUAAUACGUAGGGUGCAAGCGUUGUCCGGAAUUAUUGGGCGUAAAGAGCUCGUAGGCGGUUUGUCGCGUCGGCUGUGAAAACCCGGGGCUCAACCCCGGGCCUGCAGUCGAUACGGGCAAACUAGAGUGUGGUAGGGGAGACUGGAAUUCCUGGUGUAGCGGUGAAAUGCGCAGAUAUCAGGAGGAACACCGGUGGCGAAGGCGGGUCUCUGGGCCAUAACUGACGCUGAGGAGCGAAAGCGUGGGGAGCGAACAGGAUUAGAUACCCUCGUAGUCC
rnacentral:rRNA from 1 species